rnacentral:rRNA from 1 species
AGAGUUUGAUCCUGGCUCAGGAUGAACGCUGGCGGCGUGCUUAACACAUGCAAGUCGAGCGAAGCACUUAAGUUUGAUUCUUCGGAUGAAGACUUUUGUGACUGAGCGGCGGACGGGUGAGUAACGCGUGGGUAACCUGCCUCAUACAGGGGGAUAACAGUUAGAAAUGACUGCUAAUACCGCAUAAGACCACAGGGUCGCAUGACCCGGUGGUAAAAACUCCGGUGGUAUGAGAUGGACCCGCGUCUGAUUAGCUAGUUGGUGGGGUAACGGCUCACCAAGGCGACGAUCAGUAGCCGACCUGAGAGGGUGACCGGCCACAUUGGGACUGAGACACGGCCCAAACUCCUACGGGAGGCAGCAGUGGGGAAUAUUGCACAAUGGGGGAAACCCUGAUGCAGCGACGCCGCGUGAAGGAUGAAGUAUUUCGGUAUGUAAACUUCUAUCAGCAGGGAAGAAAAUGACGGUACCUGACUAAGAAGCCCCGGCUAACUACGUGCCAGCAGCCGCGGUAAUACGUAGGGGGCAAGCGUUAUCCGGAUUUACUGGGUGUAAAGGGAGCGUAGACGGCAUGGCAAGUCUGAAGUGAAAGCCCGGGGCUCAACCUCGGGACUGCUUUGGAAACUGUCAGGCUAGAGUGCUGGAGAGGUAAGUGGAAUUCCUAGUGUAGCGGUGAAAUGCGUAGAUAUUAGGAGGAACACCAGUGGCGAAGGCGGCUUACUGGACAGUGACUGACGUUGAGGCUCGAAAGCGUGGGGAGCAAACAGGAUUAGAUACCCUGGUAGUCCACGCCGUAAACGAUGA